ensembl:lncRNA PDC-AS1 PDC antisense RNA 1
CUGCAAACUCUGCCUCCCAGAUUCAAGCAAUUCUUCUGCCUAAGCCUCCCAAGUAGCUGGGAUUACAGACCUGCACCACCAUGCCUGGCUAAUUUUUGCAUUUUUAGUAGAGAUGAGGUUUCACCUUUUUGACCAGGCUGUUCUCAAACUCCUGACCUCAAGUAAUCUUCCCACCUUGGCCUCCCAAAGUGCUGGGAUUAUAGGCAUGAGCCAUCGCACCUGGCCCACAUAUUCUUUUUAAAAAAUCUGAGCAUGUUUCAAUUUUACUCCACAUAUUUUUCUAUCUUCACAGGGAAUGCAUCCCAAAUGCAACAAAUAAUAUGCUUUUCACAUUCCAUUAUGCAUAUUUUUGCAGAAAAUGAAUGUUAUUCUCAGAAGAGAACUCAAAAAGGAUUUCUAUGAAGUCUCUGGCAGAAAACCGAGAAAUUACAAAUGCAAGUGGUAUUUUCAUUUUCCUCUUUUAAAGACCACGAUGUAACAUGAGAAAACAAAAUACCAGAAGUGAAAGGCUGACUCCACUAAAGAUGUUCAAUAAUGAGAUUUGAUUUUUUAAAAAACACAUCUUUUAUGGGCUUUCAGGGCAUGGAAACAAGAUCAAGAAAGGUGUUUUUCUGGAGACUUUCCAAUCAAAGCAAUGAAGAUUUAAAGUGGAAUAAAAGGAUUGGGCAACAAAUAAAUCGAGUGUAAAAGAAGUCUGAUUCCUCAUUGCUGACAGGAAGACAGCCAUGGAUUGGGAAAAGAUUAGAGUGAAUCCUGUGAUGUUGGAUUGGGAUUGAAGAUACCGAAAAUAAACUCCUGGAUCCAUAUUUCACACCUUAAGAAAGCACUCCAACCCCCAAGGGCAUCAACUUCAACAGGAAAACUGACCCUUCAACUUACCAAAUCUUUGAAGUGACUAGUUGUAUAGUACAACAAGCAGAAAAUUUGCUAUGGAGGUUGUGUUAACUGUUGACAUUUAUGUGAGAUUUUUGCUGCAUAUUUGUUAGAAAAGGCUCAACAAAAUUAUAAUAAACAAUGAUUGUGUUAUUAAUUUUUUAACUGUUAUAUCAGUUAUAAAUGCUUGGAAUGAAAAUGCCUUAAGGAAAUUAGUCAAUAAUGUCACAUAUGUUACUUUUUCUAAUUGGAUCUGCCAUGAUUGCUAUAAAACUUUGUCCUUCCACUAUGACUCAUGAGUAACUUCAAUAACAAACUGCUUGGGAAUUCCCAAUGCCACAGUAGAACUAGUAUAUGCAAACAUUAUUUAUUAUCAGGGUGCACAUAAAGGGAAACUAGGACAAAAACCUACCCUGUUUCAAUUUGAUCUUGUUCUCUUAAGCAUGGAAAAAGAAUACUUGUUGCUAUAACUCAACAACUAAAACUCUUGUUUCUCAGGAGAAAAUGCAAAAAGAAAACCAGUUUAUUUGUCAUUUUUGGUUUUGCAAAUGCUAAUCAAAGUUGGUCUUUAUGCAAUGCAAUUUUUCCCACUCUUAAAACUGACUGAUAACAGCAAAUCAGACUGAACCUAAAAAUGACUCCUUCAAAAGUACUAAAAGCCUGUGUGCUUAUGUUUAUAUAUUUGUCUGUGAAUGGGGACCAAAUCCUUUUAUAUGCUGGGGAAGAAAAUUCCUUGACUCUUGGUCAUUAGCAAGUCAGUGUACUUGGGUGCUCAUGUCACUAAAAUACCUCAUUUAUCCCUCCAAUAACACCUUCUUCUGGCCAGAAGGAUUAUAUUUAUCCUGUUUCAAAAGGGAAAAUCCUGGAGCACCUGAGGCAUAAAUAUGUCAUCUUCUGCCCAAUUAGUGUUUUUUUGUUUGUUUGUUUGCUUUGCCUGGAGUAGAACAUGGAGAAAUAUGAUCAUGAUUACUGAUUUCUCUCAAAUCCUAGGCAACCUAGCUGAUACGGUUUAUCUCUGUGUCCCCACCCAAAUCUCAUCUCAAAUUGUAAUCCCCACAUGUUGAGGGAGGGGAGUGAUUGGAUUAUGGGGGCUGUUUCCCUCAUGCUGUUCUUGUGAUAGUGAGUGAAUUCUCAUAAGAUCUGAUGGUUUUAUAAAUGGUAUUUUUUCCUGUGUGCUCGCUUCUGUCUCCUGCCACCAUGUGAAGAAGGUCCUUCCUUCCCCUUCACCUUCCACCAUGAUUGUAAGUUUCCUGAGGCUUCUCCAGAUGUGUGGAACUGUGAGU